GGUUGUAUCUUGGUGCAAGCGAGGCUGUUAAUACUCCAUCAUGAGGUUCCUACGAUGCAUCGAGAGCGUGUGUCUGCUGCUGCUCGCUGCUACAAGCGCCGUCGAUGCGCUUGCGGAUCCUGUUCAGGAAACCGUAGCUCAGGUCACCUCGCGGGAUGCUAAGAACAUUGUCGAAACGACCUCGUAUCCCAGCUACUCGAAACCGGCUACUUUUACCUACUAUUAGCUAUUCUACUGUAAAAUAUCACGGCUACUCGAACCUCUACUCAAAGAACAUAUUUACUCCCUUCAAUAAAAAUUUCAGCAAAAUAACUAUCGGCCAAGCUCAUGACACAUAACAAAAUGAGAAAGAAAUUGAACUCCAAUUAUAUUUUAAAAUAAACAAACACGAAAGCCGAAUAUUAAAUGGUAAAGAAAAUUAUACUCAUAAGUAGUUGACGAAUAUAAUUCCUAAUUAAUUAAAAUUAAUAAUGCAUGUACUUUAAUUUGGAUCCUCUUCUUCACUCUGAAGCACUUUGAUGCUGGGGUUAAUUGUCACGUUAGUAUAUUUUCUAAAAAAUCUACU
rnacentral:lncRNA from 1 species